GCUGGGUCUCAAAAUGAUAUGCACAAUGAUAGAUUGAAGGAGCAGAUUCUCUUACCUUAAAGUUCAAGGCAAUAUCGUCACUUGUGGAAAGAGGAUCUGCGACUACUUUCUGCAAAGAAACAACACUCAAAGUCUUAACAAGCGCAUUGAUCAGAGCAACCGGACAUCGCAUAUUGGAUCUCAGAGGCAACGCGGCCAUGCCUGAAAUGUCAGAUGUUGCAAGCAAGUUAUUUUCAGAAUUUUAGAUUAAGCGCUGCAGAAACUACUUGAAAAUGCCAGCCCUGAUUAUAAAUGAGAGAGAGAAGGAACGCUCAAGGUUUGUCAGCAAGAAUGGCUUGGUUGAUGACCCUGUUUUAGUCGAGAAGGAGCGGGUAAUGAUAAAUCCAUGGACACAAGAAGAUAAGGAAAUAUUUAUGGAGAUGUUUGCUAAAUUUGGUAAGAAUUUCUUCAAGAUCUCCAGUUUCCUUAUGCACAAAACUACUGCCGACUGUGUUGAGUUCUACUACAAGCAUCAUAAAUCAUACAGUUUCCGAGAAGUCAAGAAAGUUUUGGACCUUCGUCAACAACAACCUGCUAGCAAUUUUCUCGGAGCAAAAUCUGGGAAGAAAUGGAAUCCCGAGGCAAAUGCUGCUUCUCUUGAUAUGCUAGGGGUAGCAUCAGUAGUAGCUACCCAUGGCCUUGAAUAUGCAAACAGAGUGGAGAAAAUCUCUGCGAAAUCCCUCAUCCGGACUGCAUAUGGGUCAAAUGUUUCUUUUGCGGCCAAAAAAUCUUCUGACAGGGAGUGCAUUGACAAUGUACCUUUGCAUGAGAGAGAAUCUGUAGCUGCUGAUGUGUU